CUGGUGUUCGGGUUGUCAUGCCAAUGGCAUUGCCCGGUAGCUAAGUGCGGAAGAGAUAACCGCUGAAAGCAUCUAAGCGGGAAACUUGCCUCGAGAUGAGUCUUCCCUGUCGCUUUAAGCGACCUAAAGGAACGUUUAAGACUAAGACGUUGAUAGGCUGGGUGUGUAAGCGUAGCGAUACGUUGAGCUAACCAGUACUAAUGAACCGUGAGGCUUAACCUGACAACACCGAAAGUGUUUUG
rnacentral:rRNA from 1 species